GCGGGGAUAGCUCAGUUGGAGAGCGUCAGACUGAAGAUCUGAAGGUCACCACGUUCACCGCA
rnacentral:tRNA from 1 species